rnacentral:misc_RNA from 1 species
AAGAGUUGUAAAACUCCCUAAACCCACUGUAAACCUACCUAUAUCGUUGCUUCGGCGGGCAGCCCCAGGGCGGGGCUUUGGCCUGUUACAGGUGCCCGCCGAAAGCGUUACAAACUCGUUAUUUUUCAUGGUACUCUGAGUAUAAAGACAAAAUCAGUCA